rnacentral:rRNA from 1 species
GACGAACGCUGGCGGCGUGCCUAAUACAUGCAAGUUGAGCGCUGAAGGUUGGUACUUGUACCAACUGGAUGAGCAGCGAACGGGUGAGUAACGCGUGGGGAAUCUGCCUUUGAGCGGGGGACAACAUUUGGAAACGAAUGCUAAUACCGCAUAAAAACUUUAAACACAAGUUUUAAGUUUGAAAGAUGCAAUUGCAUCACUCAAAGAUGAUCCCGCGUUGUAUUAGCUAGUUGGUGAGGUAAAGGCACACCAAGGCGAUGAUACAUAGCCGACCUGAGAGGGUGAUCGGCCACAUUGGGACUGAGACACGGCCCAAACUCCUACGGGAGGCAGCAGUAGGGAAUCUUCGGCAAUGGACGAAAGUCUGACCGAGCAACGCCGCGUGAGUGAAGAAGGUUUUCGGAUCGUAAAACUCUGUUGGUAGAGAAGAACGUUGGUGAGAGUGGAAAGCUCAUCAAGUGACGGUAACUACCCAGAAAGGGACGGCUAACUACGUG